rnacentral:tRNA from 1 species
GGAUAUGUGCCUGAAAAUAGGGCCAUUUUGAUAGAAUGAAUUAUGAGAAUUUAACCCCUCCAUAUCCU